rnacentral:pre_miRNA from 1 species
UUAACUCAAAUUUGUAUGGAGUCGGAACGUUUGCCUACGUUUGCCACUAGGGGCGCUGUUCCAAGUCCAUACAAAAUUGAGUUA